CCGAUCCAUCCCGUCUCGGAGAUGCUCUAGAGCCAGUUGUCCCAGACAUUAAACAGAUGGCGGUAAUUAUGAAAAGUAUCCUCGGUUUAGAUUGAUUUUCAACAAGCUCGUAAGCCUGUACAUUUAACAUCGUGGUUAAAUGUUAUUUUAAUGUCCCUCACGACGGAACGGACCGUGAGGUGAACUCAAAGAGAGUGUGAGUGAUACGCGGUCCGUUUCGGGUGUGCUCGCUCCGUUCGCGGCUCGCGGGGCCUAUCCUCAGCCUACCGGUGGCCAAAAAAAUUUUUAUACGUGGAUUUUAUUUCACCGGCAGUUCAUCAGCUUCUUCAUCGUCUCUCACCGUACUAUCAACUUGCAGCAAUACUUAACUUAUUCUUUCAAUUAAAUUAAUACCGCUCGUUUAAAUAGUCUGGACUUUUUUUAAAAUAAAACUCCAAGUGUUUGCUCUCAAAUUUACCCACGAACAUCCAAAUAAUAAUAAUAAUAGUAUAUACUAAUUCGAUAACAAAUUUGCUGAGAGACUGGUGAUUUAUUUUCUGUGUUUCCGUUUCGUUCUCCCUUGUACAUAUUAUUUUAUUAAGUUUAGUUUGUGGCGCAGUGCGUGAAAUGAGCGACAAGGACCGUUCAUCUCCCACCCUCGUUGAAAACGGCCUCAAGUCACUACUUGACCAGCCCAGUAUUUUUCCGCUGAUCGGU